ACCUGCUUGAUUCAAAGUAAUUCACUUGUUGGUAAUAGCCAACAAAGCUUCAAGAGACUUUGAAAAAGUAAAUCAAAAUAAUUACAUUGAAGAAUGGAAGAGAAUCCUCUCUCCGUGGAAGAACAAGAUCAGCUUAAUCAUAGUAUCAAAAAAGCUAGAAGGGCUCGGAUCAGGCAUCGGGCUAGUGAAGACAAUCAAGACUUUCCUCUAAAAGAUUGCUUUGGAAGUUUACCAGACGGCGGAAAGCGAAAAUUUUCGUACCAUGAAAUGGUUUUGGGAGACACGAAUGAAGAUCUUGAGAUGGGUGUUGAAAAUCUACUGGAAGAUGAUCUCAGUGAUGAAGAAGUAGAAUCGCAUCCCUUGGAUGAUGUAAAAUUUUUGAAAGAACAAUAGAAGAAUUUUAGGGCACCGUGGAGGUUAACCCUAAUCAUAAAAGUAAUAGGCAAGACUUUUGGUUAUCAAUUUCUCCUCCGAAGGUUAAUGGCAAUUUGGAAAUCUAAAGGGGAAUUCAAGUUGAUCAGUCUCAGCAAUGAUUUCUUUAUUGCGCACCUGGAAUUGAAAGAGGAUCGAGACAGAGUCCUUAUGGACGGCCCUUGGAAGAUUUUAGACUACUAUCUGGCGAUUCGUGGCUGGUCUCCCAAAUUCAGGCCAUCAACAGUGACUAUUGACAGGGCUGCUUUGUGGGUUUGCAUCCCUGAUUGCCCGAUGGAACUUUAUAAUGAGACAGAGAUGAAUGAAAUCAGUGAUUUCAUAAGCAAGUGUUGGGUUUUUGUGGGAUAGGAUACUAACCUCUUGUAGCGUCGCAGCGGAAUUCACGAAAACCAAGUCACGGUCGAGGAUCAAUCACGGAUGGAAAGAUCUCACGAUUCACUGCCUGAAUUCUUCCAGUGGUGAAGAACUUUGAGACAAUCCAACACUCUCUUCCUUCUCUGUGUUUUACAGAACACUCACUCUUUUGCUUUCUAGGGAAAUUCUCACGAAUGACACACACAGAGUGAGGAGGGAGUUGAGAGAUAUUAACAUAACUGCUCCCUUAUUUUCAAAUUCAAAAUGAAUUUGAAUUUCUCGAUUUUAUUAAAUCCUACAGCAAGACUCUAAAAAUUGAUUUCAAGACCCAAUCCCGGGAAAUGGAUCACUUUGCAAGAAUCUGCGUUGAGGUGGAUCUUACGAAGAAGCUCGUACAAGACUUUACAAUUUUAGGAGAAAUGUAUGGAAUAUAAUCCAAUAUGAAGGGAUACAUUUAGUCUAUUUCAAUUGUGGUUGUAUGAGCACAAAUUGGAGGAGUGUCCCUUGAGAUGCCAUACUAAGACGAAGGCCAAUGAUAAUUCAUUUGGAACACCAGACCCCAUUGGAGGAGAUUCGAGGGAUCCAAAGGAAAGCAAUAUCCUGGAGUUUCCACAAAAGUCUUUAAUAGCAAUGCAAGUUUCUCAGCCAAAACCUUCACCCGGACAUGGACCUUGGUUGCUAGUGGAUCAUUCCAAGAGAAAGGGAGGAGGAAAACCACCUCGUACAAGGUCAGAGAGAGGGGCCUGUUGAAACUCAAGAUUCAAUUGGAAGACGAAAACCUUGUUGGAUGGACAAAGAUUAUAACCCUAGGGACAUGGACUCAAACCAAGAGGACGAUCUUGAUCCAGAAUCACCAAUCCCUUGCAAGGGGUUUUUCGAUUCUGUUGGGGCUUCAACAAGUGAGACGUUGAGUAGGAAGAGCGAUUACCAUCAGGCCCAGAUAAUGAAUCUGGGGGAUGUCAAUGUUGUUAUGCAUCAGAGAGAUGAAGAUGCACCUCAGGCAAUGGAGUACGCUUCAAGCGAACAAGGAAUGGAGAUAUCAGCAGCAGGGGUCAUUCCUACAGGGAAGUAACUCUAAACUAUCAUAGUUUUAAUGAUUUUUAUGUCUUGAAAUUGUAGGAGGGCUGGUGGCCCCCGUUUUAAAUAUGUUCUUAGGGAUAUGAUCCAAGCUUACAAUACGGAUGUUCUAGUAAUCUUAGAACCCAAAAUUAGUGGUAACGUGGCUAAUAGAGUUUGUGGUAGUUUUGCUAGAUUUUCUUAUACUCACAUUGAAGCUUUAAGAUUUAAGGGUGGCAUAUGGGUGUUGUGGCAA